rfam:Myotis davidii contig27635, whole genome shotgun sequence.
UGCAGUUCUCAGGGGACGCACCCGGAACCAGAGAGGAGGGAGCCUGAUUCCGGGGUGUGUCACCUGAGAACUGCC